GAUGAACGCUGGCGGCGUGCUUAACACAUGCCAGUCGAACGGAAAGGCUCCUGCUUGCAGGGGUACUCGAGUGGCGAACGGGUGAGUAACACGUGGGUGAUCUGCCCUGCACUUCGGGAUAAGCCUGGGAAACUGGGUCUAAUACCGGAUAGGACGAUGGUUUGGAUGCCAUUGUGGAAAGUUUUUUCGGUGUGGGAUGAGCUCGCGGCCUAUCAGCUUGUUGGUGGGGUAAUGGCCUACCAAGGCGUCGACGGGUAGCCGGCCUGUGAGGGUGUACGGCCACAUUGGGACUGAGAUACGGCCCAGACGCCUACGGGAGGCAGCAGUGGGGAAUAUUGCACAAUGGGCGCAAGCCUGAUGCAGCGACGCCGCGUGGGGGAUGACGGCCUUCGGGUUGUAAACUCCUUUCGCUAGGGACGAAGCGCAAGUGACGGUACCUGGAGAAGAAGCACCGGCUAACUACGUG
rnacentral:rRNA from 1 species